GCUUUAUUUAACCUUGAUAUUAUUAUAUUAAGUACAAUUCAGUUGGGGCGACUAAGGAAUAACACAUCAUCCUUACAGAUAAAGAUUUAUAUAUCACUCCCAGGAUCCUACUCAUAGAUCAAAAGAAUUAGC
rnacentral:rRNA from 1 species